GGGCCCGCACAAGCGGCGGAGCAUGCGGAUAAUUCGAUGCAACGCGAAGAACCUUACCAAGGCUUGACAUGUGCCGGAAAAGUGCAGAGAUGUGCUCCCCGCAAGGUCGGUACACAGGUGGUGCAUGGUUGUCGUCAGCUCGUGUCGUGAGAUGUUGGGUUAAGUCCCGCAACGAGCGCAACCCUCGUUCUAUGUUGCCAGCGGGUUAUGCCGGGGACUCAUAGGAGACUGCCGGGGUCAACUCGGAGGAAGGUGGGGAUGACGUCAAAUCAUCAUGCCCCUUAUGUCUUGGGCUUCACGCAUGCUACAAUGGCCAGUACAAAGGGCUGCGAUACCGCAAGGUGGAGCGAAUCCCAAAAAACUGGUCUCAGUUCGGAUUGGGGUCUGCAACUCGACCCCAUGAAGUCGGAGUCGCUAGUAAUCGCAGAUCAGCAACGCUGCGGUGAAUACGUUCCCGGGCCUUGUACACACCGCCCGUCAAGUCACGAAAGUCGGUAACACCCGAAGCCGGUGGCCCAACUCGUAAGAGGGGGAGCCGUCGAAGGUGGGACUGGCGAUUGGGACU
rnacentral:rRNA from 1 species